CCAGUGAAUCGUUGACCAGACUAAUACCGCACGAUGCGAUGCAUUCUACUCUUCAUAUGUGAUGCUUCUGUGUUGUUUGGUCUACAGAACGGGCGGGUGGCCAAACAGCUGACGGUGGGAGUUUCUCUCGCUGCUGUGCUCUUGUUCGAUACGACGCUGUGAAGAUGACAUCAGACAGCCUGGCCAUCAUCAAGAGCCUCAACACCGCCGGAAGCCACCAGGAGGCGUGGUCUCCUGCUUUGACUGGUCUUCUGUCCCGUGAGGAUGUGAGUGUGUGUGAGUGCUGUGGACUGAAGGUGCUGGUCUGGGAAAUGCCUGAACAUAUGGACUAUCAUUUCGCUCUGGACUUGCAGAAGUCAUUCUUCUCCAGCGCCGGGCCGUGACGGCCGGAGCGCAGCAGUCGUCCCGUGGGAAGAGCAGGACGAAGACUCAGAGCGGCCCGCAGGCCAAGAGAGCGUGACUGCAGGGAAACAGCGGCACACUGGACUCCUUCUUCAAAAAGACAUGACAGCAGUCCCAUCCAGCACUUUCAGUUGACCAGCUUUUUAUAUGAGAAAUAUUUCUGCCUUUCAAAUUUUUACUAUUUACUUUAAAUAAAUACGUUGUUCUACAUAAUAUGUUCAAAAGCCAUUUCUUCCACUUAAAGGGUUACUCCACCCCAAAAUGAAAUUUUGUCAUUAAUCACUUACUCACAUGUCGUUCCAAACCUCUUCGGAACACAAUUUAAGAUAUUUUGGAUAAAAACCAGGAGGCUUGAGACUGUCCCAUAGACUGCUAAUAAAUAACAGUGUCAAGGUCCAGGAAAGUAUGAAAGACAUCGUCAGAAUACUCCAUCUGUCAUCAGUGAUUCAACCGUAACAUUAUGAAGCAAAGACAAUACUUUUGUACACAAAGAAAACAAAAAUAACGACUUUAUUCAACAAUUCCUCUUCUCUGGGUCUCUCCAAAUCAGCGUAGUGCCAUUUAGACAAAUCUGAGCUGAACUCAGGCAGCGUACGCUCUUCUAUCAGCCACGCCACAAGGAUACGCUGUUUUCUUUCAAAUCAAAGCAUAAAUACACGUAGAAAACAUAACACACAGUGCUGUAGAUAUUUGCAAGCGCACCAGUGUGUACUUUAUCAUUUGUAUAGUCUCCUGUAAUCGUGAAGUUUAAAUUUUUAAUUUCUCUGACGAUUACUGACAGAGGGACAGAAUGAGGGUGGAAAAUUUGUUUAGCAGAUGUUUUUGUGUGGAAACCUUUACUAUCAUUUUAACUGAAUCUCAACAUUUUGAAAUAAUUAAGAAGCCAUGCCAUGAGAAAUAUCCUUCCUGUGUGACGUUUUAAUGUUAGAAAUACAGUGAUAUUAUGAAAUAUGUGCUCAUGCAGGUUCUAAGGUGUUUUUGGUGGUUGCUAGGUUUGCUCUUGUUAUGGCUUGCAGUUAAUGGGUGCCGUCAGAAUGAGAGUCCACACAGCUGAUGAAAAUGUUUUGAAAUACCAUGCGGGUCCUUAAAAAGUUUUAAAUGGUACAAGAAAGUCUAAAUUAUGAUUUCAAGAGGGAUGGAAAGAUUUGCGUUUGCAGUAUAGCUUAAAGGCUAUUAUUUCAUUGAAUAAAUAUGAGCCAACAGGAAAACCAACAGAUGUUUUUACACAACAGAUGUAAAUGUGAACUGGUAGAUCGAUAGGAAACUAAUGCAUUAUAAAAAUCUAAACAAUUAAGACACUAAGAUAUAUGUUAGGCUAUUUAAAUAAUAUAACCAUUGAUAAUUGUUUCAAUUAAUAUAUAACCUGUUUCUGAACUGUCAAUCAUGCUUUUUACGGUCAUUGUACAGUUUAUAUAUUACCAUAAACAUGACUCUACCCCGCCCACAUGCUAUUAAUUUUAUUUGUACUUAAAUUUGUUUUUUAAAAUCCUGCAGAUAAGACCUCUGGUCUGAAUCAAGAGAGAAAUCUGCACAGAUCAAGCACUGUUCACAAGCCAAAACAGCUCUCAACAAAUAUCUCGGGUGAUUUUGAUGUGAGACAACAGGAGAUGGACUUUUUCACUCGAGGAAGAGUUAUUAUGAAUUAUGGACUUGGAUUUUAGCAAUGGUUUAAAGUUAGAAACAUCUUGAUGAUGGAUGUGUUUAUUACAAACAUGCAACUUGUGGCUUCACAAGACAGUAACUGAUGGACUGGAGUGCUGUGGAUUAUUGUGCUGUUUUUAUCAGCUGUUUGGACUCUCAUUGUGACGGCACCCAUUCACUGCUUGAG
rnacentral:lncRNA from 1 species